rnacentral:tRNA from 1 species
AAGAGUUUAGGUUAAACAAACCAAGGGCCUUCAAAGUCCUAAACAGAGGCCCAGCCCCCUAACUUUUG